rnacentral:rRNA from 1 species
UACGAAGGGGGCUAGCGUUGCUCGGAAUCACUGGGCGUAAAGCGCACGUAGGCGGACUCUUAAGUCGGUGGUGAAAUCCUGGAGCUCAACUCCAGAACUGCCUUCGAUACUGGGAGUCUUGAGUCCGGGAGAGGUGAGUGGAACUGCGAGUGUAGAGGUGAAAUUCGUAGAUAUCGUGAGGAAGACCAGUGGCGAAGGCGGAUCUCUGGACAGUUCCUGACGCUGAGGCGCGAAGGCCAGGGGAGCAAACGGG